ensembl:lncRNA
GGCUGGUUUUGGAGGGAUUAUUAUUUGUUUUUAGAUGGUGUCAUCCAAAUGAUCCUGCAGCCUCUCUCCUCUGUAACUGUGCUUGUGUCGCCUGAAAAGAAACAAAGCGUCCAACUGAGAUCAAAACAGCAGCCGCGAACCAACGAGACGAAACGAGCAGGAACGCCAGCCCCCCUCCAAACAGCAGCAGGAGGAGGAGGACGGGACACAGGACGGCUGCUGUUGGCCCCCUGCCCUCUGUCCUGCAAGGCGCUGUCCGCCAGGAGAAAAACAACCAAACAUCAUCGCACAUGGCCGCCCUAAAAGGUCAAAAGUUCCUCAGAGGCAACUUUGUUAAAUCAGCAAACCAUAUGGAACGGCUCCGACUGACAGGAGGGAUCCUUAAAACAUCACGCCUCUAACCCCAACCGUGGGCUCGCCGUUUAGCAUCAGUGGUGUUUUCUUGAUCGCACUGUGGUAAAUCCUUUUUAUUACUGAAACACCACCAGUGAUACAAAGUACAAUGAGGCUAUGGUCUGCAUCGAGCUGACUUUAAACGAGGAGUCCAAUUAGCACAGC